rnacentral:rRNA from 1 species
UACGGAGGGGGCUAGCGUUGUUCGGAAUUACUGGGCGUAAAGAGCGCGUAGGCGGCUUGUCAAGUUGGAAGUGAAAUCCCGGAGCUCAACUCCGGAACUGCUUUCAAAACUGACUAGCUUGAGUUAUGUAGAGGAUAGUGGAAUUCCCAAUGUAGAGGUGAAAUUCGUAGAUAUUGGGAGGAACACCAGAGGCGAAGGCGACUAUCUGGGCAUAUACUGACGCUGAGGCGCGAAAGUGUGGGGAGCAAACAGG